rnacentral:lncRNA from 1 species
AUUUAUGUUGUAGUAUAUAUCAACCCUCCCUUCCUUUUUAUGGCUGAAUGAUAUUCCAUUGCACAGAUAUGCUACAUUUUGUUUAUCCAUUUAUCAGCUGAUGAACGUUUGGGUUGUUUAUUUUUUGGCUUUAUGAAUGCUGUUGACACGAACAUUCAUGUAAAUCAGGGAUCCUCAACAUUUGUCUAUAGCAGGGAUAGCAGUCCAUGGCCUGUUAGGAACCAGGCUGCCCAGCGGAGGUGCGUGGUGAGUGUUGAGUGAAGCUUCGUCUGUAUUCACAGCUGCUCAUCAUUGCUUGCAUUACCUCCUGAGCUUCACCUCCUGUUAGAUCAGCAGAGGCAUUAGACUCAUCGGAGCAUGAACCCUGUAGAGAGCCAGCGUAGCCCACUCCCUCUGGGGGGAUCAGCAGCAAGGCUACUGUGAACUUUGGGUGAACUCCAGAGAAGUGAAACCAUAAUGGAAGGAUGUAUAUGUCUUGGGGUAGAGCAGAUGGGUCUAGAGAGAUAACCAGCUUUCACUGACCUUGCUGCAAGAUAGUUGUUAGCUGAAGUAUGUUAACUGAAGUAUGAGAAUAAUAACCACAGGCUGUUCUAAGUAACUGCACCCUCCCUCUGCUAUGUGCUUUGAGAACAAAUAAAGUACACUGAGACAGGUCCGGGUCAGCGAGACUGACAUCCUUUACCUCCUGGACUACCUGGCCCAGCUUUCUCUAUGUUUCUAUUUGUGUCUUUAUCCCACUGUUCCCUCUUAGGUCUUUGAACCCUUGUGCAGUUUGGGAUACAGCGCACACCAGAGAACCCUAUUGUGAAGUGCACAUGCAAAGGGUCUAAGUUGCACACUCCUUAUGAGAAUCUAAUGUCUGAUGAUAUGUCACUGUCUCCCAACACCCCCGAGAAAACUGUCUAGCUGCAGGAAAACAAGCUCAGGGCUCCCACUGAAUCUACAUUACGGUUUCUUCUCUCGUGAUUUCAACCAUUCUGGAUGUGUCACAAGUCAACCUGCCCUUCGUCUUAGAUUUGGCCUCGUCUACAACGCUGUGCCACUGCUUGGAGCACCCACAAAGAGGAUGCUCAUUUGGUGGGUGCUAGAGUGAAUGCUUUUGUCCCCCCAGAUAUUCAUAUGUUGAAUCCUGAUUUCAAGGUGAUAAGAUUAGACGGUGGAACUUUGGGAGGUGGUGUGGUCAUAAGGGUAGAGCCCUCACAAAUGAGGUUAGUGCCAUUAUCAAAAAGAGCCCAGAGAGCUGCCUUGCCCUUUCCACCAUGGGAAGACAUGGGAGACGAUGGCCCUCUAUGAACCAGGAAUGAGCCCUCACCAGACCCUGAAUCUGCCAGCACCUUGACCUUGGAUUUCCCAGCCUUCAGAACUGUGAGAAGUAAACUUCUGUUGUUUAUAAAUUUCCUUAUUCUGUUACAGCAUCCACAAUGGGCAAAGAUAGUGGAUAUAUUCAAGCUAGACUUUUUUGGUUG